UUGCACGCUGGCGGCAGGCCUAACCCCUGCAAGUCGAGCGGAUGAAGGGAGCUUGCUCCUGGAUUCAGCGGCGGACGGGUGAGUAAUGCCUAGGAAUCUGCCUGGUAGUGGGGGAUAACGUCCGGAAACGGGCGCUAAUACCGCAUACGUCCUGAGGGAGAAAGUGGGGGAUCUUCGGACCUCAUGCUAUCAGAUGAGCCUAGGUCGGAUUAGCUAGUUGGUGGGGUAAAGGCCUACCAAGGCGACGAUCCGUAACUGGUCUGAGAGGAUGAUCAGUCACACUGGAACUGAGACACGGUCCAGGCGCCUACGGGAGGCAGCAGUGGGGAAUAGUGGACAAUGGGCGAAAGCCUGAUCCAGCCAUGCCGCGUGUGUGAAGAAGGUCUUCGGAGUGUAAAGCACUUUAAGUUGGGAGGAAGGGCAGUAAGUUAAUACCUUGCUGUUUUGACGUUACCAACAGAAUAAGCACCGGCUAACUUCGUG
rnacentral:rRNA from 1 species